rnacentral:lncRNA from 1 species
CAGUCUGCGAGAGCCAAUGGUAGUGCGAUUGACAUAUGAUACCUUAUGUAAACCUCCAUUUGUGUACGAGAGCAGCGAUCAACCUCCAAAUUGGGUUAACAAAUAAAUUUUAUAACUAUAGCAUGCACACACUUAACACUUAUUCAAUUUUUACUUGUCAAAGGCUAAGGCCAAAGUUAUAUUCGCUACAAUUAUUUAUAAGAUGGAUAGUCCUCCUACUCAUAUUUCAACAAAUACUUUGCACAUUUUAAAUCACCAACAUAUAGCUCGUACAUUUUACAUUUGAUAUCGCC